rnacentral:rRNA from 1 species
AAUGAUCCUUCCGUAGGUGAACGUGCGGAAGGAUCAUUA